GUAAACUUAAUAUCUUUUGGUUUUGGACGGUUGAUUGAACAAAACAAGACAUUUGAAGACGUCAUCAUGGGCUGCGGAAGACUAACAUCAGAAGCCUUUGUGGUUGGUGGACACCAGAGGGGAUGGUGCCACGAUGAUAGGGAGGGAAAUGAAAGAAGACACAGUGCCUUUUCUGAUUGUCUACUGUACCUGGAGAUGAAGAGAAAAGUGAUGCUGCGUUCCCAGAUCUCAGCGGUUAAAU